rnacentral:lncRNA from 1 species
ACAUGCAGUAAUCUCCCUCAAGGUCCCACGGGUCCUCUGGAUUUACAGACUUGCCUGCGUUCCAGUGUUCAGAUUUUGAAGAUCUGUUUGAUGAUGAUGACAUCCAGUGAGACGCCGUCCAGGGGCGCGUGUGCGCGUGUGCUCACGCCUGCACUGUACUGCUGUGGUGGAGCUCCGCAAAGGACAAUUUCAGAUGGCUCUAAAGAACUUGUGGACGUUACUAGAAAUUAGGAGGUGGUUACCAAGAAAGAGAAGGAUGGUUUUAAAUAUCUGCAUGAGGCCCGCUAAUCUCUAAAUGUGACCAACUUUUGUCCUUCAAUUAAAAGAAAAAGUGAUGCCGUCAUUGCAGGGAAGCGCCCAUGCCACAGGACUACAGCGCUCCGCAUAUCUUAGAGAUGAGCAGGGCCACUGAGUAGAUGCUCAGCACAUGCUGACCUCCCCCGGGACAACGCGCUGGACAGCAUCACCUGGUAGCCCGAAGAGAGAUGAAGGUCUAACCUGGAGGAGCCCUCACCUCUGCUGCGUCCCCAAGCUGCAGCUUCCUGGUGCCAUGAGGCUCAGAGACAAAAUUUGCACCUUCUCCCCCUUUGUCUCGCUGCACCUCGGCCAUCCCCAUGGGGAAGCGGCGAGUACGAAAUGCUGUGGGACCCCUGGGGGGCUCAGCGGUGGAGCGCCUGCCUUCAGCUCAGGUCAUGAUCCCGGGAUUGAGUCCCACAUCGGGCUGCCCGCUGGGAGCCUGCUUCUCCCUCUGCCUGUGUCUCUGCCUCUCUCUCUGUCUCUCAUGAAUAAAUAAAUAAAUCUUAAAAAAAAGAAAUGCCGUGGAGUUAUGCUACACUUGACGUCAGGCCCAGCUGCCAGCCAAGGGGUGGAACGUGAGAAGGUGAGGCACAGCUGGGCCGGAACCCCUGGGGCUGCUUGGAGACCCAGCUGAGGGUAAGGAGACUCCUCAGUGAGGACGGGAGGCAGCUUACGCACCAGAGCCUGUGAGUGGAAGCGGGGAUUUGUGGGCAGGCUGGAAGGACAGGUGAACAGAGGACAGCUGGCCCCAGGCUCUGGGACCCUCGAGGGGGCCGUCCCCCCACUUCCCCUGCCACGGGCUUCUCGGGCCAGGUGGGGCCA